rnacentral:tRNA from 1 species
CAGAUUAAACUUUGAGAUAGAAUUUUCAUUUACACUGGAGAUAUUGUUGUGCAAUUCGGCAUAAUCUGA